rnacentral:rRNA from 1 species
AGCUCCAAUGGUGUAUGCUAACAUUGUUGCAGUUAAAAAGCUCGUAGUCGAAUUUUUAAGGGAACCAAUUUCGUGUGGUCUUAAUGAACUACAAGGGAAUAUUGUUUAUCUUAUUUUAUGCUUGUACACCGUUGGAAUUCGUUUUCUGACAGUGAGUUAAGUUUGUGUUUACUUUGAGAAAAUUAGAGUGUUCUAAGCAGUCUUACGGCUUUAUCCUAAAGCAUGGAAUGAUAAGUAAUGACAUCGGUUAAUUUCUGUUGGUUUGAGAGGUUGAUGUAAUGAUUUAUAGAGUUAGUCGGAGGUAUUAGUAUUUUGUCGUUAGAGGUGAAAUUCCGGGAUCGACAAAAGACUAACAACUGCGAAAGCAUUUGCCUAGGAUUUGCUCCUUGAUCAAGAACGA